GUGUGUGUGUUCCAGGUGUGUGCACGCCUGUCUGUGUGUGUUCUGUGUGUGUGCGAGUGUCCCCGGGGUUGUGUGUCACCCUGCGUGUGUCACCGUGUGUGUGUCACCCACCCUGCGUGUGCCACCCUGUGUUUGUCACCCUGCGUGUGUCACCGUGUGUGUGUCACCGUGUGUGUGUCACCCACCCUGCAUGUGUCACCCCACGUGUGUCACGUGUGUGACUGUUCCCCAGGUGUUCACAGUGUGUUCUCUGUGUGUGUCACCUGGGAAUGUGUCACUGUGAGUGUGUCACCGUGAGUCACCCUGCGUGUGUCACCGUGUGUGUGUGUCCCCAUGUGUUCACACCUGUGUGUUCUCUGUGUGUGUGUCACCCUGAGUGUGUCACCCACCCUGCAUGUGUCACCCCGCGUGUGUCACCCUGAGUGUGUCACCAUGAGUCACCCUGCGUGUGUCACCCUGCAGGGGAGUGUGAGUGUUCCCCAGGUGUUCACACCUGUGAGUGUGUUUUGUGUGUGUUCACACCUGUGUGUGUGUUUUGUGUGUGUUCCGUGUGUGUUCACACUUGUGUGUGUUCUGUGUGUUCAAAUCUAUGUGUGGUUGUUCACACCUGUGUUCACACCUGUGCAUUCCAAGUGUGUUCACACCUGUAUGUAUCCUCUGUGUGUAGUCACACCUGCGAGUUCACACCUGGGCAUUCCAUGUGUGUUCACACCUGUGCGUGUGAGUUCACACCUGAGCAUUCACACCUGUGUGUGAGUUCACACCUGUGUGUGUGUGUGUUCUGUGUGUUCACACCUGUGAGUUCACACCUGUGUGCGUGUUCACACCUGUGGGUGAGUUCACACCUGUGUGUGUGCGAGUUCACACCUGAGCGUUCACACCUGCGCGUGCCCCACCUGUGCCCUCACACCUUGGG
rnacentral:lncRNA from 1 species